rnacentral:lncRNA from 1 species
GGCCGCGGCGGCGGCGGCUCCGCUCGCCCCGGGAGGGAGCCCGCGGCCAGGGCUGGACUCUCGCCCCGCCACCUCCACCGACUCUCUCCUCAGCCUCCGCGCCUGGCACCGCAGCAAGACUUGAAUGAAGUGAUCAUGUAAACUAGAGAAAGGAGAUUAAAAAUAACCUCUGGAUAUUCCUCUCAUGUGAUCUUUAUUCUGGAUGAAGCAUUAGGACAGCUAAUAGCCGUGUGUCACUUGAAAAUGAAAGGUGGUGAAACUGGAGGCAAAAAAAAAAUGAAGCAAAGAUGCUUUUAUUUUCUUUACUCUGAAGUUAUUUUGCCGGUAGAAAAAUGAGGGAACAUUGAGAUAAUAAAAGAGCCUGCAGCUGUGAAGAAAAGCUCUCAGAAUUCUCAAAGACAAGAGCACAUAGUCUGAGAGGUUUUGCCACUGACAUUGCUAAAUUUGAAAACUCCAAAAUUCUUUCUGCAAUGUGUGAAGAGGACUAAGACUAAAUAUUAUAAUUGUUAAUAAACAGUGAAAAGAAAAUAAAUUGUAUUAUCUACAUGUAUGAAUAUAUACACAUAAUCCCUGACUCAGCAUGGUUCAACUUACAAUUUUUUGACUUUACUGUGUUACAAAACACUACACACUUUCACUAUACUCCUUGAAUGACAACAGGGUUACAUCUGGAGGAACCCAUGACUUUGCCUGAUUGAGGAUAACUGAAACCAUGGAAAGGUAAACCAUGGAUAAGGGGAGAUGACUGUAUCUACGUGUGUGUCAGACAGAAUAUUCAUUUGGACACGUGGGCAGAAAAUGGCCUUUCCCAGCCGCAUGCAGUAGCUCAUGCCUGUAAUCCCUGAAGGCCGAGGUGGGAAGAUUGCUUGAGCCCAGGAGUUUGAGACC